UACAGAGGUCCCGAGCGUUGUUCGGAUUCACUGGGCGUAAAGGGUGCGCAGGCGGUUAUAUAAGACAGAUGUGAAAUCCCCGGGCUCAACCUGGGAACUGCGUUUGUGACUGUAUGACUAGAGUACGGUAGAGAGGGGUGGAAUUCCUGGUGUAGCAGUGAAAUGCGUAGAUAUCAGGAGGAACAUCGAUGGCGAAGGCAGCCCCUUGGACCUGUACUGACGCUCAUGCACGAAAGCGUGGGGAGCAAACAGG
rnacentral:rRNA from 1 species